AUUGAACGCUGGCGGCAUGCCUAACACAUGCAAGUCGAACGGGUGGCGGACGGGUGAGUAAUGUCUGGGAACCUGCCCGAUGGAGGGGGCUAACUACUGGAAACGGUAGCUAAUACCGCAUACCGUCGUAUGUGCCCAGAUUGGAGUAGCUAGUCGGUGGGGUAACGGCUCACCUAGGCGACGAUCCCUAGCUGGUCUGAGAGGAUGACCGGCCACACUGGAACGGAGACACGGUCCAGACUCCUACGGGAGGCAGCAGUGGGGAAUAUUGCGCAAUGGGCGCAAGCCUGAUACAGCCAUGCCGCGUGUAUGAAGAAGGCCUUCGGGUUGUAAAGUACUUUCAUCGAGGAGGCGUUACUCGCAGAAGAAGCACCGGCUAACUCCGUGCCAGCCGCCGCGGUAAUAC
rnacentral:rRNA from 1 species